CCUACGGGAGGCAGCAGUGGGGAAUUUUGGACAAUGGGCGAAAGCCUGAUCCAGCAAUGCCGCGUGAGUGAAGAAGGCCUUCGGGUUGUAAAGCUCUUUUGUCAGGGAAGAAACGGUGAGAGCUAAUAUCUCUUGCUAAUGACGGUACCUGAAGAAUAAGCACCGGCUAACUACGUGCCAGCAGCCGCGGUAAUACGUAGGGUGCAAGCGUUAAUCGGAAUUACUGGGCGUAAAGCGUGCGCAGGCGGUUUUGUAAGUCUGAUGUGAAAUCCCCGGGCUCAACCUGGGAAUUGCAUUGGAGACUGCAAGGCUAGAAUCUGGCAGAGGGGGGUAGAAUUCCACGUGUAGCAGUGAAAUGCGUAGAUAUGUGGAGGAACACCGAUGGCGAAGGCAGCCCCCUGGGUCAAGAUUGACGCUCAUGCACGAAAGCGUGGGGAGCAAACAGGAUUAGAUACCCUGGUAGUCCACGCCCUAAACGAUGUCUACUAGUUGUCGGGUCUUAAUUGACUUGGUAACGCAGCAACGCGUGAAGUAGACCGCCUGGGGAGUACGGUCGCGAAGAUUAAAACGUCAAAAUGAAAUUGACGG
rnacentral:rRNA from 1 species